GUGUCCACAUAGGAUCAAAUAUUCAACCAAUAGAAAGGUUUCUUUUUACCACGUCAGCACUGCUCCAAAACCUAAUGUUCUUCGUUCAUUGUUGAUCGUCUCCGACUAUUGAACUUCGUUUCAGUUUUCUGUAAUUUCACCUCCUCUGCUAAUCAUUCGUAACGUUUGUCUCCCAGUUCUAAUACUCUUUAAUAUCCAUUAUUACUGCAUCAAUCCAAAGACGGGAUGAGAUUGUACCAGGAAGUAAGGGAGCUGAGUCAAAUCGCUGACGAAAGAUCUCCGAAUCAAAACCCUAAUUCCUCAAUCCCGAUCCUUUCUCUCUCGAUCUUAGUCGAAUCCCCCAGCAGCGAAGAUGGUUUUAGCGGAGCUCGGCGGGCAGAUCGCCAGCGCCUUGCAGAAGAUGAGCAAUGGGACGAACAUCGACGAGAAGGUUCUCAACGAGUGCUUGAAAGAGAUCACUCGUGCUCUUCUCCAUUCGGAUGUUUCUUUCCCUCUCAUGAGGGAGAUGCAGAACAAUAUCAAGAAGAUCGUUAACCUCGAGGAGCUAGCCGCAGGCCACAACAAGCGACAGAUCAUUGAGCAGGCUAUCUUUAGUGAACUGUGUAAGAUGUUGGAUCCAGGAAAGCCUGCGUUUAAGGAGAGGUCUUUGUAGAUUGAGUUGGUUUCUUGAUUGUUUGUGUAAUCUCAGUGGACUAUUAAUGUUUAGGUGCUGGUAAAACCACAACGUGUACCAAGUAUGCUUAUUAUCAUCAGAAGAAAGGCUACAAACCUGCUCUGGUGUGUGCGGAUACUUUCAGGGCUGGUGCUUUCGAUCAGCUGAAACAGAAUGCCACCAAGGCUAGGAUCCCCUUUUAUGGAAGCUACACGGAAUCCUAUCCUGUGAAAAUUGCUGUUGAGGGAGUUGAUACGUUUAAGAAAGAAAACUGUGAUCUUAUUAUUGUUGACACCAGUGGUCGCCAUAAACAAGAAGCUACUCUCUUUGAAGAAAUGCGUCAAGUUGCUGAAGCAACUGUAUGUUCUGUUGUCUUGGAGGCAUUGUUUUUCCUUAGUUGAUGUUGCAGGCUCUGAACAUGGUUUAAGGAGCUUGAGGAAUCUCUGGGAAUUCUGAGACAGAGCAUGAAGAUGCAGCAUGCGCAGAACAGAGAAGAGGUGUUUUAAUCUCGAAAAUACACACUAUGUAUUGAAUUCCUACUGACAGAUGCAUGUCAAAAGAGACGCAAAGGAACAUAAUUUCCAGAGGCUCCAACAGCAGGAGCAUGCUAAAGUUGUUGAUAUAAGCAAGAGGGCUUGGGAGUUCUCAAGCUUCAUAGAGUUUCAAGAGAAAGAGAUGAAAACUAUUAUGGGAGAGAGGGAGAAGAAGAUGGCAGAGAUGAACAAGAGAUAUUUCGAGGAGAUGCUUGAUCUAGAGAGGGAAUUUGAUGUCUUUGGCACUGUUCAUGAUCAAGAACGGCUUAACGAUGCAGAUGACGCAGACUACUAGCUUUCAUUGGUUAUAAGUAGAACAACAGUAGCCGAAAAGCAGAGGGAUACAACUUCAUAUCGACAGGUCGAGACAUUGAAGCAGAAGCUAAUGAAACUGAGAAAAGAGAAUGAGAUCUUUAAACGGAAACUAUCUUCUUCAUAGAAGAGCCAGAAACACCUACUGCUCGGUAAAACAAAAACUUGAUAGUAAAACAAGAAACACAGCUGUCUGGUUUAAGUUUUUAAUUUUCAAUAUAAAUUUAUAUCUUUUAAUGCUAUGUGAAUUUUUAUUCCAUAGUUUAUUUUCUAUUGGUUGAGUUGUGAUUUUGUAAAUAGUUAAUGUGCUUUAUUUUCUAAAUCUUAAAAAAUAAUUCUUUUUAA